CUCUCUCAGUACCCUGCGCCGCUCUUCUCAGUACCCAUCCCGCAGACAGGAAAUGACGCAACACCGCAGCUCUCAGUCCCCUCAGACCGGAAAUGUCGUCAACCCUUGCGACGAAAACAAGUUACGUUAUUUCACCUCUCGCGAAAAAAACACGUUUGAAUGUUGUCACAUGAUCCAAAUAGGACAAGCUGCAAGAUCACCACCCCAUUGGGAAGAAACUAAAUCACGACCCCCAAAUGGUAGUCUUCCCAUGCAGAUACAGGGAUGUCACACAGAUCCAAAUGGAAACAGGACCAAUGGUGACAAUAUAAGACCAUGCCGAGCUUCAUGGACGGUUCAAACUCAUCCUGCCCAGGAACGGCUGAAAACGUUGACAGUCAAUCAACAGGGGGACAUGGAAAGAGAGGAUUGGAAGUGAAAUAGAGGGUUUUUCGGGACAGCCAUAGGGGAAGGACUGUGGCAUCUUCAUGUUGAUGACUGAUAUGCCAACUCUGAGGAAGUGGUGGUGUAUAUUGCUAGCGGACAAUUUCAAACUUGGGUGCAUGGUGAGCCACAGGAAAGAGUUUGCCCAUUGGACAGACAAGGCAAAAGCAUUACUGCAGGGUGAAGUGCCACCAGUCUAUCAGCUACAGAAGUGAAAUUUGAAUAUAAUUGCUGAGGAAGAGGUGCAACCACAGCUCCUUCAAGUUAGUGGUGGCCCACUCCAAAAAGAUACGGCGGGAAAAAAUGUUUUGGUAAAAGGAUUGUGCAAGACAGCACAAAAGCCUCGGACGGGG